CUGUAGCCAAUUAAGCUGACACUCCCCCUCUCCCUAUGGGGGCGUGGUGUGCAGUGGGUGCAGACAGUAGCCUCCUCGGUAGCACACCAGCCUGUUGCUCCCAUGGGUUUCCCUAAAGGACCUUGGAGAAAGCC
ensembl:snoRNA SNORA70 Small nucleolar RNA SNORA70